rnacentral:rRNA from 1 species
GACUUGAGUGCAGAAGAGGGAGAGUGGAAUUCCACGUGUAGCGGUGAAAUGCGUAGAUAUGUGGAGGAACACCAGUGGCGAAGGCGGCUCUCUGGUCUGUAACUGACGCUGAGGCGCGAAAGCGUGGGGAGCGAACAGGAUUAGAUACCCUGGUAGUCCACGCCGUAAACGAUGAGUGCUAGGUGUUGGGGGCUUCCACCCUCAGUGCUGAAGUUAACACAUUAAGCACUCCGCCUGGGGAGUACGACCGCAAGGUUGAAACUCAAAGGAAUUGACGGGGGCCCGCACAAGCAGUGGAGCAUGUGGUUUAAUUCGAAGCAACGCGAAGAACCUUACCAGGUCUUGACAUCCUCUGCCACUCCUAGAGAUAGGACGUUCCCCUUCGGGGGACAGAGUGACAGGUGGUGCAUGGUUGUCGUCAGCUCGUGUCGUGAGAUGUUGGGUUAAGUCCCGCAACGAGCGCAACCCUUGAUCUUAGUUGCCAGCAUUAGGUUGGGCACUCUAAGGUGACUGCCGGUGACAAACCGGAGGAAGGUGGGGACGACGUCAAAUCAUCAUGCCCCUUAUGACCUGGGCUACACACGUGCUACAAUGGACGGUACAAAGGGCAGCGACACCGCGAGGUGAAGCGAAUCCCAUAAAGCCGUUCUCAGUUCGGAUUGUAGGCUGCAACUCGCCUACAUGGAGCCGGAAUUGCUAGUAAUCGCGGAUCAGCAUGCCGCGGUGAAUACGUUCCCGGGCCUUGUACACACCGCCCGUCACACCACGAGAGUUUGUAACACCCGAAGUCGGUGAGGUAACCUUUUGGAGCCAGCCGCCGAAGGUGGGACAAAUGAUUGGGGUGAAGUCGUAACCAAGGUAA